GUGAGGGUGAACCUGCGGAGGGACAUUA
rnacentral:rRNA from 1 species